GUUUUGGAUUUAUGAGGCUUUAUUCAUAAAAAAGGGGGGAUUUUCAACACUUCGGACAAUAACUCAAAAAGGCUUUCACCAAUGUCCAUGAAACUUUGGUGAAUUGUUUAUAUCUAUUGAUGUAAGCUCCCUUUCAAUUUUUAUAAAUUUCAGAUUUUAAGUUUUGGAUUUAUUGGGCUUUAUUCAUAAAAAAAAGGGGGAUUUUCAACACUUCGGACAAUAACUCAAAAAGGCUUUCACCAAUGUCCAUGAAACUUUGGUGAAUUGUUUAUAUCUAUUGAUGUAAGCUCCCUUUCAAUUUUU
rnacentral:lncRNA from 1 species